rnacentral:rRNA from 1 species
CCUACGGGUGGCAGCAGUGGGGAAUAUUGCACAAUGGGGGAAACCCUGAUGCAGCGACGCCGCGUGAGCGAGGAAGUAUUUCGGUAUGUUAAGCUCUAUCAGCAGGGACGAAAAACGACGGUACCUGACUAAGAAGCCCCGGCUAACUACGUGCCACCAGCCGCGGGAAUACGGAGGGGGCAAGCGUUAUCCGGAGUUACUGGGUGUAAAGGGAGCGUAGACGGGAAGGAAAGCCAGAAGUGAAAGUGUAGGGCUCAACCCUGUACAUGCUGUUGAAACUGGGGUGCUAGAGUGCAGGAGAGGUAAGCGGAAUGCGUGGUGUAGCGGUGAAAUGCGUAGAUAUUAGGCAGAACACCGGUUGCGAAGGCAGCUUACUGGACCGUAACUGACGUUGAGGCACGAAAGCGUGGGGAGCAAACAGGAUUAGAUACCCGAGUAGUC